AGAAUGUGUAUAAGAGACAGAUGCUGGAGGUAUCAGAAGUGCGAAUGCUGACAUAAGUAACGAUAAAGCGGGUGAAAAGCCCGCUCGCCGGAAGACCAAGGGUUCCUGUCCAACGUUAAUCGGGGCAGGGUGAGUCGACCCCUAAGGCGAGGCCGAAAGGCGUAGUCGAUGGGAAACGGGUUAAUAUUCCCGUACUUGGUGUUACUGCGAAGGGGGGACGGAGAAGGCUAUGUUGGCCGGGCGACGGUUGUCCCGGUUUAAGCGUGUAGGUGUGUGUUCCAGGUAAAUCCGGUUCACUUUAACACUGAGGCGUGA
rnacentral:rRNA from 1 species